rnacentral:rRNA from 1 species
UACAGAGGGUGCGAGCGUUAAUCGGAAUUACUGGGCGUAAAGCGCGCGUAGGCGGCUUUGCAAGUCGGGUGUGAAAUCCCCAGGCUUAACCUGGGAACUGCAUUCGAGACUGCAUUGCUAGAGUAUGGGAGAGGGAAGUGGAAUUUCCGGUGUAGCGGUGAAAUGCGUAGAUAUCGGAAGGAACAUCAGUGGCGAAAGCGACUUCCUGGACCAAUACUGACGCUCAUGUGCGAAAGCGUGGGGAGCGAAACAGG